UUAUGGGAGGAACUAUAAGGAAUGUCACCUCAAGGUCACUGCAGCGAAGGAUCGACCCGAACCUGAGACAACGAGUGACACCAGACUGACAAGGAUCGUUCUCUACUGUGCUCUGGGACUGACAGCAGCUCUACUGGUUGUUUAUUCAUUCUAUCGCUGCUUUACCAAAAGGAUGAGAGAUCAGUACAACAAACAAUACAU